rnacentral:rRNA from 1 species
AUUGAACGCUGGCGGCAGGCCUAACACAUGCAAGUCGAACGAGUGGCGGACGGGUGAGUAAUGUCUGGGAAACUGCCCGAUGGAGGGGGAUAACUACUGGAAACGGUAGCUAAUACCGCAUACCAUCGGAUGUGCCCAGAUGGGAUUCGCUGGUAGGUGAGGUAACGGCUCACCUAGGCGACGAUCCCUAGCUGGUCUGAGAGGAUGACCAGGAACACGGGAACUGAUACACGGUCCAGACGCCUAGGGAAGGCAGCAGGGGGGAAGAUUGCAGAAUGGGCGCAAGCAUGAUGUAGGCAUGCAGCUUGUAUGAAGAAGGCCGUCGGGUUGUAAAGUACUUUCAGCGGGGAGGCGUUACCCGCAGCAGAAGCACCGGCUAACUCCGUGCCAGCAGCCGCGGUAAUUC